GACGAACGCUGGCGGCGUGCUUAACACAUGCAAGUCGAACGAUGAAGCCUAGCUUGCUAGGUGGAUUAGUGGCGAACGGGUGAGUAAUACGUGAGUAACCUACGUUUAACUCUGGGAUAAGCCUGGGAAACUGGGUCUAAUACCGGAUACGACCAAUCUCCGCAUGGGGUGUUGGUGGAAAGCGUUAUGUAGUGGUUAUAGAUGGGCUCACGGCCUAUCAGCUUGUUGGUGAGGUAACGGCUCACCAAGGCGACGACGGGUAGCCGGCCUGAGAGGGUGACCGGCCACACUGGGACUGAGACACGGCCCAGACUCCUACGGGAGGCAGCAGUGGGGAAUAUUGCACAAUGGGCGCAAGCCUGAUGCAGCGACGCCGCGUGAGGGAUGACGGCCUUCGGGUUGUAAACCUCUGUUAGCAGGGAAGAAGAGAAAUUGACGGUACCUGCAGAGAAAGCGCCGGCUAACUACGUG
rnacentral:rRNA from 1 species